CAAGUCGAACGAUGAAGUCCUAGCUUGCUAGGAUGGAUUAGUGGCGCACGGCCGUUUAAGAUAUAGUUAAUCUGCCCUACACAGAGGAACAACAGUUGGAAACGACUGCUAAUACCUCAUACUCCUAUUUGACAUAAGUUAAAUAGGGAAAGUCUUUUCGGUGUAGGAUGAGACUAUAUCGUAUCAGCUAGUUGGUAAGGUAAUGGCUUACCAAGGCUAUGACGCGUAACUGGUCUGAGAGGAUGAUCAGUCACAUUGGAACUGAGACACGGUCCAAACUCCUACGGGAGGCAGCAGUAAGGAAUAUUGCGCAAUGGGGGAAACCCUGACGCAGCAACGCCGCGUGGAGGAUGACACUUUUCGGAGCGUAAACUCCUUUUAUCAGGAAAGAAUAAUGACGGUACCUGAUGAAUAAGCACCGGCUAACUCCGUGCCAGCAGCCGCGGUAAUACGGGGGGUGCAAGCGUUACUCGGAAUCACUGGGCGUAAAGGACGCGUAGGCGGAUUAUCAAGUCUUUUGUGAAAUCUAGUGGCUUAACCACUAAACUGCUUAGGAAACUGAUAGUCUAGAGUAGGGGAGAGGUAGAUGGAAUUCUUGGUGUAGGGGUAAAAUC
rnacentral:rRNA from 1 species